CUUGCUUCUCUUGAGAGCGGCGGACGGGUGAGUAAUGCCUAGGAAUCUGCCUGGUAGUGGGGGAUAACGUCCGGAAACGGACGCUAAUACCGCAUACGUCCUACGGGAGAAAGCAGGGGACCUUCGGGCAUUGCGCUAUCAGAUGAGCCUAGGUCGGAUUAGCUAGUUGGUGGGGUAAUGGCUCACCAAGGCGACGAUCCGUAACUGGUCUGAGAGGAUGAUCAGUCACACUGGAACUGAGACACGGUCCAGACUCCUACGGGAGGCAGCAGUGGGGAAUAUUGGACAAUGGGCGAAAGCCUGAUCCAGCCAUGCCGCGUGUGUGAAGAAGGUCUUCGGAUUGUAAAGCACUUUAAGUUGGGAGGAAGGGCAGUAAAUUAAUACUUUGCUGUUUUGACGUUACCGACAGAAUAAGCACCGGCUAACUCUGUGCCAGCAGCCGCGGUAAUACAGAGGGUGCAAGCGUUAAUCGGAAUUACUGGGCGUAAAGCGCGCGUAGGUGGUUCGUUAAGUUGGAUGUGAAAUCCCCGGGCUCAACCUGGGAACUGCAUUCAAAACUGACGAGCUAGAGUAUGGUAGAGGGUGGGUGGAAUUUCCUGUGUA
rnacentral:rRNA from 1 species